AACGAACGCUGGCGGCAUGCCUAACACAUGCAAGUCGAACGAGACCUUCGGGUCUAGUGGCGCACGGGUGCGUAACGCGUGGGAACCUGCCCUUAGGUUCGGAAUAACUCCCCGAAAGGGGUGCUAAUACCGGAUAAUGUCUUCGGACCAAAGAUUUAUCGCCUUUGGAUGGGCCCGCGUUGGAUUAGCUAGUUGGUAGGGUAAAAGCCUACCAAGGCGACGAUCCAUAGCUGGUCUGAGAGGAUGAUCAGCCACACUGGGACUGAGACACGGCCCAGACUCCUACGGGAGGGAGCAGUGGGGAAUAGUGGACAAUGGGCGAAAGCCUGAUCCAGCAAUGCCGCGUGAGUGAUGAAGGCCUUAGGGUUGUAAAGCUCUUUUACCCGGGAUGAUAAUGACAGUACCGGGAGAAUAAGCCCCGGCUAACUCCGUG
rnacentral:rRNA from 1 species